CCAGCGGCUCGUGCCAGAAGGCCACGUGGGGAGGGGUGCGGGGGAUGACAAUGCCUCAAAUCUGCCGCUUUUGUUGGGGUGUUACCAGGCAGACUGGAGCCUGCAGAUUUCAUCUCGCCUGGCUUUUUUUUUUUUUUGAAGUCCUUAAAAGGAAAAAGUAAAAAAAAAAAAAAAAGAAAAAACCCAACCCACAAAAACCUUGUUUGCUUAUAUGAUGCUGCAAUUUGCGAAAAGCACCUUUAUAGAAGCAAAGGGAUUUUUUUUUGCAUUUUGUAUUGCUACCUUUCUAUUUGUUUCUUUUCUUUAAUUUGAAGUCUAUGAGACUGUUGCAUUGGAGCCAGAAAUUAAGGUAAAAACAGGUAGCGCCAGUUAGAGGCUUGCAAAAGGCAGUGGGCACAGCCCCCUGCAGCUGACCACUAGCGUCCCGAGCGCGCUGGUGAUGCCUGCCAGGCAUACUCAAUGUGUACAUUGAGCCGUCUCUGGAAGAUCCCACCCCACCUCCCCGCCCUUGGCCGAGCGCGGCGGGGCGCGGGAGACGGGGGCGGGCGGGGACGAGCAGAUUGCGGCCGGCGCACGCCGCUCGUUUGCAUUUCUAUGGAGGGCGCACAAUAGCAGAGGUCUGGCGUGUGGCGGUUUGCUGUAGGGACAAUCGAGGCUUUCUCUUCAUAGCAACACUGUCCACCUGCCGCCGGGUGGGGUGGGCAGGACCCCGCCGCGCGUGGGGGUCGCCGGGCUGCCUGGCGCGUGGGGUCGAGGCUGAGUGCCACUCCGUGGUCCCUGAGUGCACGCCCCCAGUACUGGCCCUGCUACAAGUAAUUCCCUUCCAUCCGUUCCUCGCACGGGUGCCGAACAGCCGCGCGAGUUGGGAAGGACGGAGAGCUGCUGUGCAGUCUUCGCGGCUGGACGCCCUGUGGCCGGGACCCCGCGGCUGCAGCCCCUGGAGCUUAGGUAAUGCAGCUCGGAAUCUUUCCCGGGGCGCCAUCUGCAGGCAGGUUAAAAAGAUCCUGAACCCCUUUUGUCCUCCCCUCCCCCCAACACACACACCCUUGCAUUGGCCUGGCGCGGGGGAAGGGCGGUGGAGAGGGACGGCCACGGAGCUGCCCGGCCGGGCCCAGUGAGCCCUGUCCAAGCUGCGCAUAAAUAGAACCCGAGUAAGGGCUGCAAAACGCAUUCAGGUGGGACUGCAGUUACCCUGGGGAGUAGAGGGCAAAAGGAAAUUCCCAUCCAGUACUGAUGGAGUAAGAGCCCCUACGUCUUAUACCAUGUUGAAAUAUCUUAAUUACUUAAAUGCGCAUAUGUAAAAAGCCUUUUUUCCGGCAAUGGAAUAAGUCUGGAAGAGAUCUUGGGAGAGUUUAAUAGGCUAGAGGUUGCUGCCGUUUGACCAUACACGCUGGCACUUUCAGAGGAUUCACCCACUGAGCACCUUCUGUGCUACGUGAAAAGGCGCGCUGGGGGACACCUCAUUGCUUCCUUUUUUUGGGUGAAGCCUUGGAGACUGGCCAGGACAGUGGCGGGCCGGGUGGAUUGGAUGGAAACCCGGGCCCUGCCGCAAGACUGGGGCGAUAAUGGGAAAGUAAACAACGCCGUGGCUUUGUUCCUUUCAUUCAGGCUUUCUUCAGGUGGGUGGUGAAUGUACAAGGUACUUCUGAAUUUGUUAUGGGGAAGUUUCCAUUCUGCGCUUGCAGGCAGGCACUUCUGCCAAGGUGAGAAGCUGGCGUCUUGCGCCCCCCAGCGGCUUCCUGGCAGAGGAGAGCUGCAAAAGCCCGGCCCUUCCUGGAUUCUAAGAAUGAAGAGCUUGCUCUCCUAGCAUUUCUGAACUCCAGAGGUGUCUCCUAAGGACGGGGGGAGAGGGGAGGGGGAAGCGGAGCCAGGCGGCAUUAUGCCCCGUUUGUUCGCUAGUUUCUUUUCUUUCUUGAUGUAUAAAAUGAUGAUAUGCCUUGAUUGGAUAAAAUAUGUUAAUUUUAAGUGAUUGGAAUAUAGGUAUUACUCUUUUAAAACUAUUAAACUUUUCUUUUCUUUUCUUUUCUUUUUUGAGACGGAGUCUCGCUCGGUUGCCCAGGCUGGAGUGCGGUGGCACAAUCUCGGCUCACUGCAACCUCCGCCUCCCGGGUUCAAGCGAUCCUUCUGCUUCAGCCUCCCGAGUAGCUGGGACUACAGGGUGAAGCAUGAAUCUGCACAUGGGGAGGCUUCAGAGGACAACUGAGACAAGAAGCAGGAAGCUGAGAAAGGAGGACACCUCCCACACACACAUCUAGCAAAAGCUGGACAUUUCUGGUCAGUCAUCCUUAUGCAAAGACUUUCUGGAAGGAGCAGUUAUUCUUGGGUGAGCACUUAUGUAGCAUGAAAGAGGUUAACAUUAGCCCAGGGAAAUCCUUCAAAGUAAUUGAGGGGGAAGGAUACAUUAUUUAUGCAUUUGUUCCCUUCUCUAUCGACAGUAAGAAAUGAUUCAUGGCACCUGUCACAGUCCUAGGUAGUGACAGACACCAGCCUGCACUGUAGCUGAAAACCCCUGAGAAGCCACAGAUGUGCAGUCUUCCCAGCUUGACUACAUGCCCAAGUCUUCUGAACCUUAGUUUCCCAACCUAGGAAAUAAAAAUUGUGCCCUUUACCCCUCAUGAACCUUAUUGGGGUCUUAUAAGAUUGCUCCUGGUUGCCAUUUGGCCCACAGAUGGGUUUAGUUUGGUGGACAGUGUCCCGAAAGACUUACAAAUUCAGAUCUGACUUGUUCAUUUGUGUAGGGGAGAGUUGGUGGCACACAUCCUCUCUGUCACUGUAAGUAUGUUCCAAAUGUCACAUUAGGUCCACUGGCACGUGUAAGCCCUGUCUGGCAUUUGCCUGGUCCCUGCAGGCAUUUGGGUUGGCAGUAAACUUUCUUUUCUAACAGAUUUCUGGAAAUGUUUACAUGUAGCAUAUAAUAGAAUAAUAGAACCACAGAACUUCCACAGUAAAGCCUUCCUUCUUUUAUGUUCCAAAAGCUAAAAUGUACUAACAACCUCCAAAAGGCACUAUGACAUUGGAGUUUAAACUUUGUGGAGCAGGACUCAAAGCUGGACUUAGCUGCUUGCUAACUUUGACCUUGAGUGAAGAGUUAGCAGAUGAUUUAAAGUGUAAAGUAGAAAGAAUUCAUGCUGGUUAGCCCAUUAAAUACCCGUUAAUUAAGCUCUCCAAAAACGCCAUUCAAAAAUGUAUAUGAUAAUCAAAUAUUUAUUGCAAUGUUUCUUAAAAUAGUGAAAAAUUAGAAAACAUUAUAGGGGGCUAGUGUUAAAUCAUGGUGUAACCAGAAAUGAAACAUUAUGCAACCAUAAAAAGGAGUUCUGAAGAGUAGUUCCCGGCAUGAUAUAAUGUGAAAAAAAGCAAAAUACGAAAUUGUGCAAUUCUAAUUUUGCAAAAACUUUCAGCGUACACGACUAUCACUGUAUAAAGUCACAAAGUAGGAAUGGUGAUUGUAUCUUGGAGUGAUGAGAUUAUAAGUGAUUUUUAAUUUUCUUCACUAUGCUUUACUGCAAUUAAACAUUUACAAUUCAAUUUUAUUUAACAAAAAUAUAUAAAACUUCUCAAAUGGAGUAACUUCAGUACCAGACAUCCUCAACCUGACUGCUCUGGAGGUUAUUGUGCAGAGCAAUCUUUGACCAUAUGGUCACAGAUCCAGAAGCCAGACGUCUGUGGGGCUUUGCUCCUGAGACUGUGACCUUUGAUUCCUGCACUCCUCCUCUUGCCAUCUGACGCCGGUCUGCGCCUGUGACUGAGUGAAAAUCGUCAUAACUGUACUCGGAGGUUAACUCUGGCAUGACUGGGAUGGAAUCCCAGGCAACAUGCUGGAGGCAGGAAAGAAGGCCAGCCGGCAAGUCAGAACCAAACACCCUGGACGGCACCUUUCCUUACAAAUGCGGUUCACAGGACCCUUGGGGAUCCUCUGCGCACACUGAGGCAAGCAGCAAUGGAAGAAAUUAUCUUCCACUCCCUUCUUGUUGAAAAUGUCUGUUUUCCAGAAAUGAAUUACAGUAAUAGAUUAUGAAAAUUGUUUCCAUUGCCUACAUAACACAGCAGGGAAUUCUAAAAUUUCAAAACAUGUAAUAUACUCAACCUGUGCUUGAGACUGUAGGGUAUUA
rnacentral:lncRNA from 1 species